rnacentral:snoRNA from 1 species
AAGACUACACUUUCAGGGAUCAUUUCUAUAGUUUAUUACUACAGAAGUUUCUCUGAUCAUGUAGAGCACCUAAAUGAAGAAAGAUUAAGAGAUAA